AAAGUUGGUAAAGCACUAGCCUUGAGCAAAAGUGCUCAGGGCCAGAGCCCAGGUCCCAAGUUCAAGCCCCAUGACUGACCAAAAAGAAAAGAAUCCCUGAUAUAUUUUGUUUUUCAUUGUUGUUUUCAUUGAUGAAGCUAAGUUCAAAUAAAGGUGUAUGUAUCAGAUCUACUGACCAUCUCCAUAGUAUGUAAAAUUUGAAAUCUGUGGUUCAAAUGAUAGAAUAUCAACCUUGAGU